GGAAGAUAUGUAGGGCGCACGGCGGAUGCCUUGGCACAGGAAGCCGAUGAAGGACGCGGCAAGCUGCGAUAAUCCGCGGUUAGGGGCACACACCCUUCGACCCGCGGGUCUCCGAAUGGGCGAACCCGCCAGGAGAGGUCCUGGCAUCCCCCUUGGGAACGCAUACCUUGGGGGAGGACAACCCGGGGAACUGAAACAUCUAAGUACCCGGAGGAGAAGAAAUCAACUGCGAGAUUCCCCGAGUAGCGGCGAGCGAAAGGGGACCGAUGGCCAAACCGGCGAGCGGGCGGGCGCCAGCCUAUACCGCCGCCGGGGUUGCAGGGCCUCCCGCCCGGGAGCUGGCGCUCCCGGCGGGGAUCCAUCCAGGGGAGCCGAACGGCAUGGGAGGGCCGGCGGCACAGGGUCACAGCCCCGUAGGCGCACCCUGGGAUGGACCCCGGCGGAGGUCCCUGAGUAGGGCCGGGCACGUGAAACCCGGUCCGAAGCAGGGGGGACCACCCUCCAAGCCUGAAUACUCUCCUGUGACCGAUAGCGCACAAGUACCGUGAGGGAAAGGUGAAAAGCACCCCGGGAGGGGAGUGAAACAGUACCUGAAACCGUGCGCCCGCAAGGCGUCGGAGCACCCUUUCAGAGGUGUGACGGCGUGCCUUUUGUAGAAUGAGCCAGCGAGUUGCUGGCCGUCGGCGAGGUUAAGCUGGAAAGCGAGCCGGAGCGAAAGCGAGUCCGAAACGGGCGACCAUAGUCGGCGGCCGCAGACGCGAAGCCGGGUGAGCUACCCGUGGGCAGGCUGAAGCGGGGGUAAGACCCCGUGGAGGGCCGAACGCACGUCGGUUGAAAACGGCGGCGAUGACCUGCGGGUAGGGGUGAAAGGCCUAUCAAACCCGGAGAUAUCUCGUUCUCCCCGAAAUAGCUUUAGGGCUAGCGUCGCGCGUUAACCCCGGGAGGUAGAGCACCGGAUCGAUGAGGGGGCUUCGCCGCCUACCGAUUCGAACCGAACUCCGAAUGCCCGAGGGUCUAGAGCGCGGCAGUCAGAACAUGUGGGCUAAGCUGUGUGUUCGAGAGGGAAACAGCCCAGACCGCCCGCUAAGGUCCCAAAUUCAGAGCCGAGUGGCAAAGGAUGUGCGUCCGCGCAGACAACCAGGAGGUUGGCUUAGAAGCAGCCACCCCUUCAAAGAGUGCGUAACAGCUCACUGGUCGAGUGGACAUGCGCCGACAAUACACGGGGCUAAGCUCUGAACCGAAGCGGCGGGAUGAUUCAAAUCAUCGGUAGGGGAGCGUCCCAGCGGGGGCGAAGCGGGAGGGGAACCGACCGUGGACCUUCUGGGAGCGAGAAUGCUGGCAUGAGUAGCGAGAGACGAGAGGGUAACUCGUCCGCCGUAAACCCGAGGUUUCCUGGGCAAGGCUAAUCCUCCCAGGGUCAGUCGGGGGCUAAGGCGAGGCCGGAAGGCGUAGUCGAAGCGCAGCAGGCAGACAUUCCUGCACCGCGAUGGAACCGUCACGACCGACGGGGCGACGGAUUGGGGUGGCUCGGCGGGGUUCUGGACGUCCCCGUGAUGGAGCGCGGCCCGGAGACCAGGCAAAUCCGGUCUCCACGAGGGCGAGGCUCCGGACGAAGCGAUCGAGCGAAGCGAGUGAGCCCGAGGUCCCUAGAAAAACCCCUAGGCAGGCGCCAUCGCGCCCGUACCGCAAACCGACACAGGUGGGUGGGUAGAACAUACCGAGGCGAUCGGGUCAACCAUGGUUAAGGAACUCGGCACAAUGGCCCCGUAACUUCGGGAGAAGGGGUGCCCCCGCGUACGUGAACCGGCUCGCCCGGGGAGCGGAGGGGGGCCGCAGUGAAGAGGCCCAAGCGACUGUUUACCAAAAACACAGGACUCUGCAUAAGCCGCGAGGCGACGUAUAGGGUCUGACGCCUGCCCGGUGCCGGAAGGUCACGCGGAGGUGUUAGCGCGAGCGAAGCACCGAAGCCAAGCCCCGGUAAACGGCGGCCGUAACUAUAACGGUCCUAAGGUAGCGAAAUUCCUUGUCGGGUAAGUUC
rnacentral:rRNA from 1 species